rnacentral:lncRNA from 1 species
GCGAGCUGGAGAGAGACAAUACAGGCCGCUGUCGCCUGAGUUCGCCUGUGCCCGCGGUGUGCCGCAAGGAGCCUUGCGUCCUGGGCGUCGAUGAGGCGGGCAGGGGCCCCGUGCUGGGUGCGCCCCUAGGGCCAGGGAGGGGAGGGGCGUGGUACGGAGGAUGCGGGAAACGGGAGUCGGGAUUGCACUGCACCAAGGGAGGGGAUGUGGUCGUGGUGAUGGCACCUAAAGAAGCAGUGAUGAUAGAACAGGGAUGAAUGGCAACUUUCACGGGCUCAGUGAUUGGACCCCGGCUGCCAGAAAACUGACACCCCUUCUCCCCAGGCCCCAUGGUCUACGCCAUCUGUUAUUGUCCCCUGCCUCGCCUGGCAGAUCUGGAGGCGCUGAAAGUGGCAGACUCAAAGACCCUAUUGGAGAGCGAGCGGGAAAGGCUGUUUGCGAAAAUGGAGGACACGGACUUUGUCGGCUGGGCGCUGGAUGUGCUGUCUCCAAACCUCAUCUCUACCAGCAUGCUUGGGCGGUGAGGGGUCCCCGGGAGGGGCAGCCAGCAUGGGCUGACCAAGCUUUGUUCCUAGAAUGAGAUUAACUGGGCUCUGUUCCCCACCACAGGGUCAAAUACAACCUGAACUCCCUGUCACAUGAUACAGCCACUGGGCUUAUACAGUAUGCAUUGGACCAGGGCGUGAACGUCACCCA